CUUCCUCCGUCGGAUUACCGAUACGCGAUGUAGGGGUAGAAGAAGGAGGAUAAGAACUCAAGUAAGACGUUUAGGCUACUAGUUGAGUGUGUUCGUUUCGGUGAGUGGGUGCCGGUGUGAGAGCAGAGGCUUUCGCCUCUGAAACGAGAACCGAAGAAGAGGGGCUGCCGGAGGUUGUCCUCGAAAAUGGAACCGUAUACCAUGGUAUCGGAGGGGCCUGGUGCCUGACAACACACCCAGCGGUUAGCUCUGUUGGGUUAGUGGUUGGGAAGCAGACCCUGCGAAUGGCAGUGGUUGUUUAGUAGUAACCAUAAUAGACUGAGGUUACCGGCGUUAUAUACCUACUGUCGUUCGUUAUAUCGGCGAUCUCAACGGUCUCGAGUACGUCACGAUGAGUUGAGCCCUUUGAAACAAGAGGCCAGCGGCUUACCGCGCCUGUAUACCGUCUCGAAACUAGUAGGCUGGCUGUGUUACGAAGGUUGUUACUCUAAAAACCGUUCGAUGUUCCGUGUUCAGCAGCCCGCCAAGUAACGAACCUUCCCUGGUGUAUUGGGCAGGAGGCCCCUGAAAAGGAAUUCAUCACUGGGGUCGAGCUGUUGGGGGGUCGAGCAGUAAACCGUAGACUCGUUCGGUAUGACGGCGUGGUGACACAACUUACUUCGAAGCCACUAAAUGCCUCCCUGUAUGGACUCGUUGUGGCCUAGACAUAACAUACUUCGUUUAUAAUUGAGAUCUCCACUCAUGAUGUAGUACAAGUGUCAGAGGCUCUUGAGCGGUAAGUGUGCGUAGUGUGAACUGAUGUCACCGUUCAGGGUUAAAGAUUCGACCUUGUUAGUCAGUAGAAGUACCCGUGAUUAACCACUUGUGGGGUGACGACGUACGCUGGAGAUACGGAACACACCGGGGAAGUCAAUAACACUGAUGUGAGUCUAAUAGGGUCGGACGGUUACAGAACUCCCCAAACUCGGGUAACUACUAUAAUCGAGAAGAUUUCCUACAAGGUCUGUUCAAGAACGUGUAUGGCUCACGUUGACGUUGACGAGUACGUGCCGAAUGCGAAUACGGUUGAACUCGUCCCGACCACGAUACCGGCUGAGUAGUUCCACGAACCAAACCAAUCCCCUUGAAUAACUGCGACCCUUUCCUUGGCGACCGCUCUUGGAAAUGAAGGCUGAACGGCUACGAGGACAACUCUUUUUCUAUUCAAGUCAUUUCUAACAUGAGGGCUAACACCGUAAGAACGACGAUGAUUGUACGUAUCGGGAGCAGACCUACAUGUUUACGUCUCCAAAACCGUUUCAAAUGUUCCCGUGUGACUUUCCACCUUUACUUCAACGACAGUUCUCCGAGUCAUUCCCAAGAUUUGUUCCGUCCGGGCAACUGUUCCGACACGCUUGCCACGCUAGCGUGUCCCGGGGGCUUUAGAACCCCGGGGGCUAGUCCCUUUUGGUUGUGUUGUAGGAUGUCCUACCGUCCCGCACCCGGAGUAAAGCGUAAAGCGUGGCCCCGGGGAUAAAGGACCUCUGCCGGGACUUUGUUCCAUAUCACCUCAAGUUUUUACUUCAUCAAGACUAACGGUUCGACGUCGCGUUCUUGGAUCAGUCUGAAGAACCUAAAACGUAAGUCCUCCUACUCUUCAACGACUAGAUACUUAUAAAUGGAUUGUUUUCAAACCUGCGGAAAGAAAAACUCUUACUUUCGCGUGACGAAGGUUGAGGUUUUGUUGGACAUAUAAAGAGAGGUUUCGAGGAAGAGAAGCCUACCGAGAGGAGGCCGUUGUGGUAGCAGAGGUUCCCGCCCCUGAAGCGUGAGCCGAAGAAGAGGGGCCUACCGAGGUUGUGCUCGAACAUGGAACCGUAUACCAUGGUGUUGUAUGGGCCGGCGUGGCAACAUACCUGGCGGUUCGCGCUACUAGGUUAGCGGCGGCGAAGCAGAGGCUGCGAGUGGUAGUGGUUGUCAAGACUGUACCACAACAGCCUGAGGGUUCCAGCGUGAGUAACCCGGCACUUCUUGUUGUAGUACCCGUAUCAAAACUAGUGGGCUGCCUGUGCGGGGGGGGGUCCAUCCUAACACAACUCGUUCUUCCCGGUACAGCAAACCGCGGACUAACGAAGAUUCCCGGAGUUACUGUACAGUUGACCUCAGAAAAGAUACUCAGAACUAGGAUCGAGACUGGAAGUCAAAAAGUAAACCUUACCCUGUUCCGGGAUGGCGACGGAGAGAUAGAAGUUACCAUUGUACCGCCAACCGUUGUAUAUGGUCUUAUGACAGAACAUACUUCGGUAACAAUCGUGUCCCCUACCCAAGAUAAUACUAAAAUCUCAGAGACUACCGAGUGUCAUACGUGUAGAAUGCGAGCUGAUGUACCCACACAACUAAGACUCUAACUUGUUGGCGAGUAGAACCUGAUGGUAGUGGCGUGGGGGACGAUCGACACUGUAGAUGCGAAGUACACCGGGCAAGUCGAUAACACUGAUGUGCCGCCGAGAGACAGCAACGGAGCUACCCAAACUCGGGAGACCAGGAUUGAAAAGUUCGCCUACAUCUUCUUAGCUUCUCGACUUUACGUCGUUCGUUUGGAUGAAAUCGUGAUUACCACGAUACCGGCUGGUCAGUGCCACGAACCAAACCUGUCAAGUUUUCUUAUUGUUUAACCAUUUCUAACAUGAUGGUUGGUACCGUACGCACGACUAUGAACGUACAUAUCGGGAACAGUCGUAUACGUUUAUGUCUCGUUAGUGUACCGUCUUCUUCCUUUAUGUGUUCCCCGACUACGAUCCUAUGGAAUCGAGCAGGUCACUUUACCCACCACUUGUACAGCUCAAAGGUAAACAAUCGAAGCUUCUAUAACGAUGACUUUGCCUAUUAAAGAGACUUAAAUUGGUUUAACCUUCACCUCCAAAACCAUUUCAAAUGUUCCCUGACAACGUUCCACUGUUUCUUCAACGAUAGUUUUCCGAAUUUUAGAACAAUCUGAAGAACCAACAACACAAAUACCUCUACUCUCUACUAUGUUCUGUUAUACACGAACUAACCGGGUGUGCGAAGUUUUAUUAAUUUCCCCAUCGCUCUCCCGAAGAAAUGGAGGUGGUUCUAAGUUCUAAUUGAUAUUAAGUGUCUCUAGAGUUUGGUUCGUUGUAGAACAACCUAAGGCUUUACUGAAGGUUUUAUAGUCUGAAGCCAUACCGCUCCUAGAAACCACCUUUGUUUGUUCUCCGUUUGUGAUGGGCCCAACAACCCUGUAUACGAAUGUACAGCGGACUUAUACACUACCCUCCACGGAAAAGAUAUUUUAGCCUGUGGAUAUCGAAGCCACAAGAGGAGAACCUCUAAUAUUCACCUAACUUCUAGUGGAGGGUCGUUGAGCAUUACUUGAAACAGUCGGAAUGUCGAAUACGUACCUCUGAUACCCUUCUACCUUUUCGUUGUCUUGACCACGUGAGAAGUCAAUGACUCUCAACAAGUGAACUACUUCAAGAUACCACAUAGGUACAGCCUGAGGACACGCAAGUUCUGACAGGCUUACUAUCCGGUGAGUACCGUAGUCAAUGAAAAUACAACCUCUUACCUUCACGUGACGAGGGUGAGGUUUCGUUGGACAUAUAAAACGAGAUU
rnacentral:rRNA from 1 species